AUUGAACGCUGGCGGCAUGCUUUACACAUGCAAGUCGAACGGUAACAGGCCGCAAGGUGCUGACGAGUGGCGAACGGGUGAGUAAUGCAUCGGAACGUGCCCAGUCGUGGGGGAUAACUACUCGAAAGAGUAGCUAAUACCGCAUACGAUCUAUGGAUGAAAGCGGGGGACCGUAAGGCCUCGCGCGAUUGGAGCGGCCGAUGUCAGAUUAGGUAGUUGGUGGGGUAAAGGCUCACCAAGCCAACGAUCUGUAGCUGGUCUGAGAGGACGACCAGCCACACUGGGACUGAGACACGGCCCAGACUCCUACGGGAGGCAGCAGUGGGGAAUUUUGGACAAUGGGCGCAAGCCUGAUCCAGCAAUGCCACGUGCAGGAAGAAGGCCUUCGGGUUGUAAACUGCUUUUGUACGGAACGAAACGGCUCUGGUUAAUACCCGGGGCUAAUGACGGUACCGUAAGAAUAAGCACCGGCUAACUACGUG
rnacentral:rRNA from 1 species